UGGGGAAUAUUGCGCAAUGGGCGGAAGCCUGACGCAGCAACGCCGCGUGCGGGAUGACGGCCUUCGGGUUGUAAACCGCUUUCAGCAGGGACGAAGCGUGAGUGACGGUACCUGCAGAAGAAGCACCGGCCAACUACGUGCCAGCAGCCGCGGUGAUACGUAGGGUGCGAGCGUUGUCCGGAAUUAUUGGGCGUAAAGAGCUCGUAGGUGGUUGAUCGCGUCGAAAGUGAAAUCUCAGGGCUUAACCCUGAGCGUGCUUUCGAUACGGGCCGGCUAGAGGAAGGUAGGGGAGAAUGGAAUUCCUGGUGGAGCGGUGGAAUGCGCAGAUAUCAGGAGGAACACCAGUGGCGAAGGCGGUUCUCUGGACCUUUCCUGACGCUGAGGAGCGAAAGCGUGGGGAGCAAACAGGCUUAGAUACCCUGGUAGUCCACGCCGUAAACGGUGGGUACUAGGUGUGGGGGGACAUUCCACGUUCUCCGUGGCCGUAGCUAACGCAUUAAGUACCCCGCCUGGGGAGUACGGCCGCAAGGCUAAAAACUU
rnacentral:rRNA from 1 species